AAAGACAAGAGAGAUGGUGACAACAAGGGAAGAAGCUGCGUUGCGGGGAAGACUAAGAACUCCAGGCGUAGUGUCGCCAUUGUCACUUCGGACUUGGACCUUAAGCUUUUGGCCGGCAGGACAAUGACCAGGGUAAGUGCAAAUGAAGUAGUGGUCACCAGUCCUUUAAAGCGUAAUUUUUACGGGUCCUUUGUUGUCGGUUGAGAUGGCGUCGGUGGUGGUGCAGGCGUCGUAACCAGGUUCAGUCACCUCUGCAACAUCAUGUUCCCUAGUAAUAAAGUUGAACACUGCAAGCAAACAAAGCAGUUGGAAGUAACUGAAUCUGAUGUUUGAAAAACUUGGGAAUAUUUAAUAAUUAGUGGAAAUUAAGUAAGAAACUCACAGAGAUUAUCCCCGACGACGAAUGUUUUAUUGUCAGCCCAGUUAUAGUAUAAAUUAGAAUUACUGGUAGGGACUUGCCAACCAGAGAAGUCUCCUACAGUGUAAGUUGUAGAAGCAUACGUGGUUAGAGUUGAAGCCAGAACUACAAAAAUUGCUGCCAUGGUCAUGCUGCUUUUCCUACCCAUUUUCUUUAUUACCUUAUCUGAUUUCAGUGCCCCUAAGAUUUCAUUGUCUCUCCUUUUUUGCGCUAAUUUUGUAUUGCAUGGGUUGUUUAUAUAGGGAGUGUAGGAGAGUCAUAAAUUUGUGGUAAACUAUUGAAACAAGCUCUGGGUGAGGGCCUCUAACAAACUACUUUAUUUUCCAGCAAAUGUUUGGUUGAAUGGAUCGAUAGAGAUAUAAUAUUCUUUGAAUAAACAAAAUUAAUUAAAAGAUGAUAAUUUUCGGUAUUUGGACGAUACUAUGUAAAAUAGUUUUUCUUGUUUAAUUUUUUUCUUGAAAUAAAAUAAUUACAAUCUAAAUUAUAUUUGUUAUAGAAUAUUAUAGAAGCAAUUUUCUCUUGACAACAAAUAUGUAUUUUAUAAUAAGACUAUUUUAUGGUAAAUAUUAUGUAAACAUGUUUAAUUAAAAUUUAAUUUGAAAUUAGAGAUAUAAGGAUACAUUGAAAUUAGAAGAGAUAAACGAAUCUAAAUAAGAUUUAAACAAGACCUGUUUGUGAACUCGAUUGGUGAAAGACAAAUUUAUUUGGCAACUAUGAUAUGAUUAAUGUAUGAGCUUCGUAACUUUAAACUAUAAAUGUUUCUUCUUCUUUUCUUUUCCAGAUUAAUCAAAUAUUUGUAUAUGAUUCGAUAAGAGGAAGAAGAAUAUAAUAUGCGGACAAGUGAAGACAAAAAUGGUGGUGUUAAAGGUAAGGAUGGAAGAUAGAGAGAGUGAGGAACAAUUUCUUCACUCAAUUUCCUAGGGUUUAUAAUUAUAGCACAAUUGGACUGUCUUACCUCUAUGGGUUGAUACAUCAUAACUCACCUACUACUCUACUGCUGAAAUGAUAAAGUAAUGAAACGAAUUUUUGGCAGGUCCUCAUACCUUAAAGCCACCAGCUCGACCGAAUUGACCAAAAUAGGUUCUACUUAUUAAACCAUAGAUGAAAGCAAUUAAUGCUUUAUUUAUUCAUUUGUGUAUGUAUAUAUACCAAAAAAAGGUCAAAAAGUGGUUAUAAAUGUACUUUAAAAAAAUAAGUAUAUGUAUAGUAUCCUACUGUGGGGUAAUUAAAGAGGCAUGCAUGCAUGCAUGCAUCUCCACUUUCAAUGGGAUGAGGUGUUAGCAUGCAGAUGAAGUGAUGCAUUAACGAUAAAGUAGUUGGAAUAGGUAGCUUUUGAAACAUAAAGUGCUAUGGCUUGGGUUGGGAUGGCUAUUGUGGAGCAGCUCAGGCUCAGGCUCAGCCAGCUCCAUGGCUGUACGUAGCAGGUAAAAAGAGUUGGGGCAUUCCAUGCCAUAUCUAUCCUAUUAUUCAUCUAGCUCAGGUGAACCCUACCUUUCAUUAACCUAAGGGUGUGGAGACAUACAGGUAGGCCUAGCCAAGGGCUUCAAUUUCAAACUUAUGGAAGUAUUUUUCUUUCUUUAUACAAGUGAACAAUUACAUUAUAAUAGAGAAAUGGAAAGAGUUAACAAUCACGGAGUUUAAACCUUGGAUCUCAUACCAAUAAAUUUGAAACUCACACAAGUUUGCCACUAAACCAAAGGUGUGAUUGGCAAAUACAAGAUUCUAGAUCUCUCAAGUGAAUAGUUUAUUAAUAUUUUACAAUUUGUUAUCCUAUACACCCUAAUAAGUGAAAAAACUUCACAAACAACACUAAAAUGAUAUAAUUUAUUUUUAGAAUGUAGUAAAAUAAUAAUAAAAUAAUUAAAAAACACUUAAUAUCAUUAUGACUCCGCUUAUGACAAAAUAAGUACCCUUGAAAAUUGUAGGCAUUUUGUUCACCAUAUAGCUAGUUAUAUACAGAGGUGAAGUCAGAAAAUUAUUUUAGGAGGGUGAAAUUAAAUUGUAAUGUUUAUGAUAGUAAAAAUACAAUUUCAUCAUUUUAAUAGCCUCUAUCUUUAUAAUUUUUAAAGGAUUAAAUCAAAUUUUAUCAUUUUUAAGGGAAAAAAGUGCAAGUUUAUAUUUACUAAUUUAAAAUUUUAAAAAUUUCAAAAAGCUUAAAUAUAAAUUUUUUCAUUUUAAGGUGGGCCGGGGGCCUGCCAGCCCUCCUAGUUUCGCCCAUGGUUAUAUAUCACUUAAAAUAUUUAAAAACCAAGGAAGGUUUCGACUUCAAGUCCGUAUAUAGUUGCUUCUUCUUUGGCACAAGCUUUCAAGUUUUGUGUAUGAAGGAUUUUGUCGAGCAUCCUUAAAUUGUGUAUUUUGCUAGAGCUACUCGCAUCUAUUGGAUAGUGUGCUCAUUGCAACGAUGGCAAGAAUAUGACACGGUUCUAAGCAUCAUGGUGAUUUCUCUACCUUGAUGGUUGAACACCAACAUAUCGGUGAGGGUUUAGUAUGCUGUUUUGUUAGAAUGGGAUUGCAAUGGGUCUUGUUCCGUCUGUACGAUUUGUAUCAAACUUCGUGUAAUUUGUUUUAUACAUUUGAUCUUGUACCGAUUGUACAUUUGUACGGGAUUUGAUCCUGGUUUGCUUAUUAUCCUUUUUUAUGAACAAAUUUUCUCAUGUUAAAAGAAAAAGAUUUCAACCAAUCUAUAACUUCCAUCCAAACUAUCUAUUUAUAACUAAAUAAAUUUUUAUUUUAUAUAAGAGUUAAAGAGCUUGUUUAAAUACUAAAAUUUAUCAUCCUCAAUAUGCAACAUAAUAUUACAAGUAACUUUUAAAUAUUUUAAUUAAUAAUAUUUAAGCUCUAGAUAAGAGGGAAGGGAGGGGGCAAGUAGGGCUGGCGAAUUUUUUUAUUUAGACCCUCAAAUUUCAUAAAAUUAUAAGUUAAUUACAUGGUGAAAUUAUAAUUUGGCCUUUAAAGAUACUAAAAUUCCAAUUUAAUCCUUUUAAAAAUAUAAUCCAAUACAGUGAUGAAAUUGUAUUUUAGCUCUCAUAAAAAAUAUAUAACUUAAUAUCAGCCCCCUAAUUUUUUUUUUUUUACUUCGCCCCUAGUUCUAGGUAAAAUAUUAAGAUGCUUGUGAAUAGACUCUUCUUGGGAAAGGGUUCAAUCUUAAAACAUAAUAAAUGACUUUAUGUAAUUUCUUUGAUCGAGUUUAUAUCGAGUUGACUUAUGACACCAACUCAAUCAAACAUAUUAUACAAGUACUAGAUAAGUUAAGACUUAUCUAACAAAAAUAAAUUAGUUUAAAGGCCUAAGACUUUGAGUACUAUUUAGGUUCAAGUUCUAACUACAUGUCUUUCGUAUUUGGGUUAGUUAGUUAAUUUGAGGUGAGUUAGUUGUAUACUUUGUUAAAUUUGUUACUUAAUUUAUUACUUGUAAUGAUUUUUUUUUAAGAAAAAGUAUUACUUGUAAUGUUUGUUCUAAUUAGAACUAAUAUUAUUGUAUUUAAAAAAUAACUCGGGAUAAUGUCAUAUUUGGUAUUCAUAUAUUUAUAAAAUGCCCAAUGUGGUAUUUGAAUAAUCAAUAUAUGUUUUAUUAUGGUACUUAUUUUUAACAUUAUUAGUGAAUUACUAAUAUGUGAUUAAUAAAAAAAUAAAUACUAAACUUACAUAAGCAAAAACGUCAUCUUCUCCAAUAUUUAAGUAAAUGACCAUCUUCUCCAAAGAGUUUUCCAUUUGAAUAAUAUUUUUAAUUGAUUUUUAAAUAAUAUUUUUUAUUAUCCAUGAAAGUACAUUUAUUUUCAAGUAAGUUUAGUAUUUACUUCUUUUUUAUUAACCACGGGCUUAGUUAUUUGCUUUUUAAUUUAACUAUUUCUGUUUUAUUUAAUUUUUCAUAUAAUGUUAUAUUACCCAUGCAGACUUGAUGAUUUGGAAAAGGAAAUUAUACGUGUCAAAUUUUCAUUAGCAAGUUUAGCAUUUCACUAACAGUGUUAACACCAGAUAUUAUAAUAAAACACAUAUUGAUAGCUUAUGUAUCACAUUAGACAUAUUCAAAGUACAAAUACCAUAUUAGAUACUUUAUGAAAGGACAAGUACCGACAUAUACUAACAGUUCAAGUAUCACAUUAGACAUUUUAAGAAAAUACAAAUACCAAAUGUGACGUUAUCUAAAAAAGUUUAAUGACUUUUAAAAAAAAAUGUAUAUAUAGUACAUAUUAUAUUGUUUAAAAUAAAUAUAAAUGUAUAAUUAUUAUUUUUUUUAAAGGGAAAUUCAUUAACUCAUUCCACGAAUGAGACCAUAUAAUUUGGUAAAAGAAACAACAAACAUCUGUCGUAUGCGGUAACGAACAAGAAAAAAAACAUAUAAAACUUAAGACAACAUGAAUCCAAACCAACUCGUGAAAUCAUUUAUUAUUAUGAAAUACUCUCCAAACAAAAACAAAUUAAGAAGUUGACGAAGAGCCACUCACUUUUUAAGACAACAAAGAUACCUACAAUAUAGAUCUACAAACUAAAAAGAGAGACAGUACAUGGAGCGAAUGAGGAGAAGAAAGAAAAAGAGGGUUGGUGGGAGGGAGAAACAGGCGGGCGAAGCCAACCCGGAAGCUGGCACUGCCAUUAGACAAAACAAAAGAGAAGCAAACGACUUGAAGAAAAAAGAGAGAAGUUUUUACAGUUUUGUAAUAUUCGAAUUAUUUAUUAUAUAUACACAUUUAAUUUAAUAUAGUUAAUUAUAAUGUGUGAUAAAAUGAAACAGUUGCUAAGAAUCAAACAACACAUGUGAAGUGGUGCCUAAGGCAGUGAGCAUUCCUUCAACUACCAUAAGUGAUCCUAAUCUAUCACAUAUCCACUCUUUUUAGCAAUUACAAUAAGUGAUCCUAUUCUAUCACAUACCCGUGACAAUUUUCCUUUCCUUUGCAUCUUGAAGACUCGAUACUCUCACUACUAAAUUCAUCCAUUUUUAGUUCAAAAAAUAAAACCACAACAUAAAGGUUUUAUUAUGUACUAGUACAAUAAGGUUCCUCACUUGGAACAUAUUAAGUGCUUAAUUUUCUCCACACAUAUUAAGUGCUUAUAUAAGAAGAUCUAUUAUAAUCCUGAUAAAACAACCAUAUUAUAAGUUGAAUACAAUAAAAUAAUAAUAAAUAAGGAUUCUUGCAGCUAAGUGUUUAGUUAUUCAAUCCAAUCCAACUUUCUUAAUUCAAGAGAUUAGAUAAGAGUAAUUCAAAUUGAUCUAAUCUCCAAAAUAUGUUUUCCCAAUUGAUAUAAUCUCCAUUGAUGAGCUAGAUAUCGUCUAUAAACUCAACAUAGGCCUUAGAAGACGUUCAAUAAAUUGUCAACGCUUUAAAUAUAGAAAAAGCCUCCAUAUAGAUUUGGUGGUCAAGGGAGUAAGUACUACACCCUCUUACAUCAAAUUGCCAAUUUCAUAUAUUUUUUUAAUAAUGUGGUUAUUAAAUCCAAAGAUAUAUACUAUAACUUAUUUUAAUUGACAACACUUAAAUUCAACCGUUAAGACUUGGGUGGAGCCCAUCAUAAAUCAAAGGGGAUUUUUUUUUUUUUUGAAUUUUAUCAUUUGAGAAAGGAUUGUAUGAAAUUGGGAUGUCACAUCAUUUUUAUCCCUUUUCAAUAGGAGAAUAACAAAUCAGAUUUUUUCUCCUUGAAAAAUUCAAAUCCAACUAAAAAUGUUCAAAAUCAGGAAAAUUUUUUUUGAUUUGUCAUUAACCUAAUGGAAAAGGAUACAAAUGAACGUGACAUAGGGGCAUAGCCAGGGGGCUGGCAGGGGCCAUGACCCCUCCUAAAAUGAAAAAAAUUUCAUUUAGGCCUCCUUAAAAUUUAUAAAAAUUUAAAUUAGUAAAGAUAAAUUACACUUUAGCCCCCUAAAACUGAUAAAAAUUUGAUUUAAUUCUUUAAAAAUUAUAAAGAUAUAGAUAUUAAAAUAGUGAAAUUACAUUUUUACUAUCGUAAAAGUAUACAAUUUAAUUUCAACUCCCAUAACAAAAAUUUUCCAACUUCAUCUUGACAUGACAUCUUAAUUUCAUAUAACCCUUUCUUUUUAUACAAAUACAUUAUUUAGAAAAGUUAGUUGGGUACCAAAAAUGAAAGUUAAAAAAAAAAGGGAAAGCAACAUUUUUUAUUGAUAUAUCUAGAAACUGGAUCGAAUUUUUUAUUCAAACACAAAUUAUGAUUCCAUGAUCAUUGUCAUAACAAAAGCAGGGUACGAAAAUCUUUUUGUUAUACAAAGUGUUUGUUUGAACUGAAAAAGGGUUAACACAAUAUAGUAUCAGCACAACAAAACAAAGGUAGCAAUGGAAACAAAGACGGGAGAGAUGGUGACAACAAGGGAAGAAGCUACGUUGCGGGGAGGACUAAGAACUCCAGGCGUAGUGUCACCGGUUUCACUUCGGACUUGGACCUUAAGCUUUUGGCCGGCGGGACAAUGACCAGGGUAAGUGCAAAUGAAGUAGUAGUCACCAGUCCUUUUAAGCGUAAUUUUUACGGGUCCUUUGUUGUCAGUUGAGAUGGUGUCGGUGUUGGUACAGGCGUCGUAACCAGGUUCAGUCACCUCUGCAACAUCAUGUUCCCCAGUAAUAAAUUUGAACACUGCAAGCAAACAAAACAAUUGGAAGUAACUGAAUCUGAUGUUUGAAAAACUUGAAAAUAUUUAAUAAUUAGUGGAAAUUAAGUAAGAAACUC
rnacentral:lncRNA from 1 species